rnacentral:rRNA from 1 species
UUGGAGGGCAAGUCUGGUGCCAGCAGCCGCGGUAAUUCCAGCUCCAAUAGCGUAUAUUAAAGUUGUUGAGGUUAAAAAGCUCGUAGUUGAACCUUGGGCCUAGCCGGCCGGUCCGCCUCACCGCGUGCACUGGCUCGGCUGGGCCUUUCCUUCUGGAGAACCGCAUGCCCUUCACUGGGUGUGCCGGGGAACCAGGACUUUUACUCUGAAUAAAUUAGAUCGCUUAAAGAAGGCCUAUGCUCGAAUACAUUAGCAUGGAAUAAUAGAAUAGG